AUUGAACGCUGGCGACAUGCCUUACACAUGCAAGUCGAACGGCAGCAUGAUCUAGCUUGCUAGAUUGAUGGCGAGUGGCGAACGGGUGAGUAAUACAUCGGAACGUGCCCUGUAGUGGGGGAUAACUAGUCGAAAGAUUAGCUAAUACCGCAUACGACCUGAGGGUGAAAGUGGGGGACCGCAAGGCCUCAUGCUAUAGGAGCGGCCGAUGUCUGAUUAGCUAGUUGGUGAGGUAAAGGCUCACCAAGGCGACGAUCAGUAGCUGGUCUGAGAGGACGAUCAGCCACACUGGGACUGAGACACGGCCCAGACUCCUACGGGAGGCAGCAGUGGGGAAUUUUGGACAAUGGGCGAAAGCCUGAUCCAGCAAUGCCGCGUGUGUGAAGAAGGCCUUCGGGUUGUAAAGCACUUUUGUCCGGAAAGAAAUGGCUCUGGUUAAUACCUGGGGUCGAUGACGGUACCGGAAGAAUAAGGACCGGCUAACUACGUG
rnacentral:rRNA from 1 species